GGUGCAUUGGAGCAGUUGGAGUGCUCGCUUGCCUGUCACGCAAGAGGUCACGGGUUCAAGUCCCGUAUGCACCGCCA
rnacentral:tRNA from 5 species